GAUGAAGAACGUAGCGAAAUGCGAUAAGUAAUGUGAAUUGCAGAAUUCAGUGAAUCAUCGAAUCUUUGAACGCACAUUGCGCCCCUUGGUAUUCCGAGGGGCAUGCCUGUUCGAGCGUCAUUAUAACCCCUCAAGCUCGGCUUGGUGUUGGGGCCUGCCGCACGGGCAGCCCUUAAAAUCAGUGGCGGUGCCAUCUGGCUCUAAGCGUAGUAAUUCUUCUCGCUAUAGAGUCCCGGUGGAUGCUUGCCAUUAACCCCCAAUUUCAAUGGUUGACCUCGGAUCAGGUAGGGAUACCCGCUGAACUUAAGCAUAUCAAUAAGCGGAUGA
rnacentral:misc_RNA from 1 species